AUCCACUGUGUGAUACAUAAGACAAGUGUCCUUCAUAAGAAAAUUGUAAGUGUCUAUUGAUGGAAAUGCUUCUCUUUAGGGAGUUCUUUUUCUUCUCUGGAGCUUUCUAGGACACAGAACUUUAUGAUGGAUAAACCAAGGGAAAGAGGAGAACAGACACCAGAAACUGGCCAUGGGAAGAGUUCUCAAUAGGGCUGAUGCUAACAAGCUCAGUGAUACUUGGUGGUCCCUGCACCAAGACCUUGGCUGACAAGAAAAACCUCCAUGCAAUGGUGAUGGGUAUCUCAUUCAACCCAGCAUUCGCUUUAUCUUUGCCAGAAAGUUCCAGUGAUGGUUUAUAAAUAAGACCCCCAAACUUUACUCUUU
rnacentral:lncRNA from 1 species